GGCAGGAUGGCGGAGUGGUUAACGCGAUGCCCUGCUAAGGCAUUUCCCUCGGGAGCAUGGGUUCGAAUCCCAUUUCUGUCG
rfam:Torrubiella hemipterigena genome assembly, contig: SCAF4